UUAAGCGAAUAAGCGUACACGGUGGAUGCCUAGGCAAUCAGAGGCGAUGAAGGACGUGCUAAUCUGCGAAAAGCGUCGGUAAGGUGAUAUGAACCGUUAUACCCGACGAUAUCCGAAUGGGGAAACCCAGUAUCCAAUGGAUACUAUCAUUAACUGAAUCCAUAGGUUAAUGAGGCGAACCGGGAGAACUGAAACAUCUCAGUACCCCGAGGAAAAGAAAUCAACCGAGAUUCCCCUAGUAGCGGCGAGCGAACGGGGAGCAGCCCAGAGUCUUAAUCAAUAGCAGUGUCAGGAGAACGGUCUGGAAAGUCCGGCAGUAAAGGGUGAUAGCCCCGUAUCUGAAGAUGCUGUUAUUGUGAACUCGACGAGUAGGGCGGGACACGUGUUAUCCUGUCUGAAUAUGGGGGGACCAUCCUCCAAGGCUAAAUACUCCUGAUUGACCGAUAGUGAACCAGUACCGUGAGGGAAAGGCGAAAAGAACCCCGGCGAGGGGAGUGAAAAAGAACCUGAAACCGUGUACGUACAAGCAGUAGGAGCCUCUUUAUGGGGUGACUGCGUACCUUUUGUAUAAUGGGUCAGCGACUUAUAUUCUGUAGCAAGGUUAACCGUAUAGGGGAGCCGUAGGGAAACCGAGUCUUAACUGGGCGAAUGAGUUGCAGGGUAUAGACCCGAAACCCGGUGAUCUAUCCAUGGGCAGGUUGAAGGUUGGGUAACACUAACUGGAGGACCGAACCGACUAAUGUUGAAAAAUUAGCGGAUGACUUGUGGAUGGGGGUGAAAGGCCAAUCAAACCGGGAGAUAGCUGGUUCUCCCCGAAAGCUAUUUAGGUAGCGCCUCGUGAAUUCAUCUUCGGGGGUAGAGCACUGUUUCGACUAGGGGGUCAUCCCGACUUACCAACUCGAUGCAAACUGCGAAUACCGAAGAAUGUUAUCACGGGAGACACACGGCGGGUGCUAACGUCCGUCGUGAAGAGGGAAACAACCCAGACCGCCAGCUAAGGUCCCAAAGUCAUGGUUAAGUGGGAAACGAAGUGGGAAGGCUCAGACAGCCAGGAUGUUGGCUUAGAAGCAGCCAUCAUUUAAAGAAAGCGUAAUAGCUCACUGGUCGAGUCGGCCCGCGCGGAAGAUGUAACGGGGCUAAACCAUGCACCGAAGCUGCGGCAGCGACACAAAGUGUUGUUGGGUAGGGGAGCGUUCUGUAAGCCUGCGAAGGUGUACUGUGAGGUAUGCUGGAGGUAUCAGAAGUGCGAAUGCUGACAUAAGUAACGAUAAUGCGGGUGAAAAACCCGUACGCCGGAAGACCAAGGGUUCCUGUCCAACGUUAAUCGGGGCAGGGUGAGUCGACCCCUAAGGCGAGGCUGAAAAGCGUAGUCGAUGGGAAACGGGUUAAUAUUCCCGUACUGGUGGUAACUGCGAUGGGGGAACGGAGAAGGCUAGGUUGUCCGGGCGACGGUCGUCCCGGUUCAAGCAGGUAGGCAGAGUGAUUAGGCAAAUCCGGUCACUUAAUGCUGAGAUGUGAUGACGAACCACCAAGGUGGUGAAGCAAUUGAUGCCCCGCUUCCAGGAAAAGCCUCUAAGCUUCAGGUUACCAACAAUCGUACCCCAAACCGACACAGGUGGUCAGGUAGAGAAUACUCAGGCGCUUGAGAGAACUCGGGUGAAGGAACUAGGCAAAAUGGUGCCGUAACUUCGGGAGAAGGCACGCUGGCGGUAAGUAAAGUCCCUCGCGGACAGAGCUGAAGCCAGUCGAAGAUACCAGCUGGCUGCAACUGUUUAUUAAAAACACAGCACUGUGCAAACACGAAAGUGGACGUAUACGGUGUGACGCCUGCCCGGUGCUGGAAGGUUAAUUGAUGGGGUUAGCGCAAGCGAAGCUCCUGAUCGAAGCCCCAGUAAACGGCGGCCGUAACUAUAACGGUCCUAAGGUAGCGAAAUUCCUUGUCGGGUAAGUUCCGACCUGCACGAAUGGCGUAAUGAUGGCCAGGCUGUCUCCACCCGAGACUCAGUGAAAUUGAACUCGCUGUGAAGAUGCAGUGUACCCGCGGCAAGACGGAAAGACCCCGUGAACCUUUACUAUAGCUUGACACUGAACAUUGAGCCUUGAUGUGUAGGAUAGGUGGGAGGCUUUGAAGUGUGGACGCCAGUCUGCAUGGAGCCAACCUUGAAAUACCACCCUUUAACGUUUGAUGUUCUAACCUAGGCCCAUAAACUGGGUCGGGGACCGUGUCUGGUGGGUAGUUUGACUGGGGCGGUCUCCUCCUAAAGAGUAACGGAGGAGCACGAAGGUUGGCUAAGCAUGGUCGGACAUCAUGCGGUUAGUGCAAAGGCAUAAGCCAGCUUGACUGCGAGAGUGACGGCUCGAGCAGGUACGAAAGUAGGUCUUAGUGAUCCGGUGGUUCUGAAUGGAAGGGCCAUCGCUCAACGGAUAAAAGGUACUCCGGGGAUAACAGGCUGAUACCGCCCAAGAGUUCAUAUCGACGGCGGUGUUUGGCACCUCGAUGUCGGCUCAUCACAUCCUGGGGCUGAAGUAGGUCCCAAGGGUAUGGCUGUUCGCCAUUUAAAGUGGUACGCGAGCUGGGUUUAGAACGUCGUGAGACAGUUCGGUCCCUAUCUGCCGUGGGCGUUGGAAGAUUGAGAGGGGUUGCUCCUAGUACGAGAGGACCGGAGUGAACGCACCACUGGUGUUCGGGUUGUCAUGCCAAUGGCAUUGCCCGGUAGCUAAGUGCGGAAGAGAUAACCGCUGAAAGCAUCUAAGCGGGAAACUUGCCUCGAGAUGAGUCUUCCCUGUCGCUUUAAGCGACCUAAAGGAACGUUUAAGACUAAGACGUUGAUAGGCUGGGUGUGUAAGCGUAGCGAUACGUUGAGCUAACCAGUACUAAUGAACCGUGAGGCUUAACCUG
rnacentral:rRNA from 1 species